rnacentral:rRNA from 1 species
CCUACGGGUGGCAGCAGUGGGGAAUAUUGCACAAUGGGCGCAAGCCUGAUGCAGCCAUGCCGCGUGUGUGAAGAAGGCCUUCGGGUUGUAAAGCACUUUCAGCGGGGAGGAAGGCGGUGAGGUUAAUAACCUCAUCGAUUGACGUUACCCGCAGAAGAAGCACCGGCUAACUCCGUGCCAGCAGCCGCGGUGAUACGGAGGGUGCAAGCGUUAAUCGGAAUUACUGGGCGUAAAGCGCACGCAGGCGGUCUGUCAAGUCGGAUGUGAAAUCCCCGGGCUCAACCUGGGAACUGCAUUCGAAACUGGCAGGCUAGAGUCUUGUAGAGGGGGGUAGAAUUCCAGGUGUAGCGGUGAAAUGCGUAGAGAUCUGGAGGAAUACCGGUGGCGAAGGCGGCCCCCUGGACAAAGACUGACGCUCAGGUGCGAAAGCGUGGGGAGCAAACAGGAUUAGAUACCCCUGUAGUC